UAAAGUUAAGCAAACAUCUUUGACGAGGCAGAUCAUUAGUGGCGACCAGUCCUCGAGUAAUGACACUUGCAUGGACUGAUUAACUGAUUCCAUUCCAUGUCUGUUACAAAAAUGGCGGGAAUAUGCUCUCUGAAUCCAACAACCUUAAUGACUAUUAAGGUAACAAAGCAAGGGACUCGCCCUUCAAAUUAUUCAUCCUGUCGAAGUUUCAAUUUUCAAGUUGAAUUUCUCUACUUUCUAGCCAAUUGACUAGCAUUAAUUUUGCAGAGAAUUCAUGGAAUUAGAUGCUGCUCGGGAGCAACAGAUAAUGAAAAGA
rnacentral:lncRNA from 1 species